rnacentral:tRNA from 1 species
AACAAAGAAGCAAGAUUUGCAAUUAGUUUCGACCUAAAAUUAGGAAGUAAGUUCUCCCAUGUUU